UACGGAGGGUGCAAGCGUUAAUCGGAAUUAUUGGGCGUAAAGAGCUCGUAGGCGGUCUGUUGCGUCCGCUGUGAAAACUCGGGGCUUAACCCCGAGCCUGCAGUGGAUACGGGCAGACUAGAGGUAGGUAGGGGAGAAUGGAAUUCCCGGUGUAGCGGUGAAAUGCGCAGAUAUCGGGAGGAACACCGGUGGCGAAGGCGGUUCUCUGGGCCUUACCUGACGCUGAGGAGCGAAAGCGUGGGGAGCGAACAGG
rnacentral:rRNA from 1 species